rfam:Coxiella-like endosymbiont strain CRt, complete genome.
GGGCCGUUAGCUCAGUUGGUAGAGCAGCUGACUCUUAAUCAGCGGGUCCACGGUUCGAACCCGUGACGGCCCA